rnacentral:siRNA from 1 species
GGGCCCAUAGCUCAGUGGUAGAGCA